AUGACACGAACCCAGCACACGACACGCAGCUGCAGCAGCAGCAGCAGCAGUAGCAAUGAUUUACAGCAUGCGCAACAGCGACGUCGCCGUCAAAUGUCAACGCAGUUUUUCGCAUUGUUGUUGCUGCUUUUGAUCAGCUGCAGCGCAGCGGCGACUGCGCAGUCCCGUUACUACUACACAUCAACAUCGGAUGCACAACAUGGCGCCAGCAAGGUGCGAACACAGCGUCAAGCAGCAGCGUCAGCGGCGACAGCAAGUGUCAUCGAUGAGACAGCAGAUGCGUCGAGCUGCUGCCAAGGCGCUGCCGCUGCCGGCGCUGAGCCUGUCACGCUGUCUCUCGAGCUAAGCAAUGUGACGACAGAGUACACAGAUGUUGAGGGCAAGAGCAGCUCGAGGGAACAAUUUAAGCGAAGUGCCGAUCAACCGCCUUUGGCGAUGGCCGCCAGCUGUUCGCCACAACCGACAAUCGUGGAUCUAAAUGUGGGCCAAGAGGAGGCGGAGCAAAGUGGCGGCAAUGUGCGCUAUGCUCCAGUCUGCACACGCGUCAAUCGCUGCAGCGGCUGCUGCGGCUCCACGUUGAUUGCCUGCCAACCGACGGAGACGGAGGCGUUGCAGAUGCGAGUGCGUAAAUUGGAUGGCAGCAAUAGCAAGAAGAAGGUGUAUGUGAUUGUGACGGUGGAGCAGCAUGUGAAAUGCAAAUGCGAUUGCCGGAUACGUGCCGAGGAUUGCAACUCGUAUCAGGAGUAUCGCAAGGAUCUGUGUCGCUGCGAGUGCCAAAAUACGGAUGCCCGUGACAAGUGCUUGGAGCAAUCGGAGAACAAGUAUUGGGACGAUGCCAAUUGCACCUGCGCCUGUCGCUACAAUCAGAGCUGCACCACCGGCACCAUCUUCGAUGAGUCGCAAUGCAAAUGCACCGAUAUCAAAAGUCUCGAGUAUUAUUCCUAAAAAGAAAAAAAAAACACACACACACACCUAAACAUUGUUGUUAUUGUCUUGAUGUUCAAACGUUUUCCAAUUUGCGAACUUUUGCAUAUGGGAUUUCGUUUGAAUAUUGUGAAAUUCCGUGAUAAGAAUAAAAGGCAGCUUUAUUUCAAGAUUGUUAGGAAUUUUCACUAUUGACACUAUAAAAAUAGCCAACAAAAUAGCUGAGUAAAAGACAAAUAUAAAUUAAUCAUUAAUGUUAACAAUCUUUUGGACCGUUUUGUGAUAUGUAAGAAAAAAUGUAAAACAAAAAUGUAAUAAUUAUUGGCAAUGUAGGAAAAAUGUUUAAGGCAAAUUGUAAACUUAUAGCUGAGUUGAGGCCCAAAAAGUAAAUAGGAACAACAAUUGUAUUUGUUGCAUUGUCCAUCAGCACCUAGCGACUAUUCGGAUCGCAGACGCUUCAUUGUCCAGGCCAUUCCAGUAGAGCCGGAUAAUAGCACCCUCUACACCGUCUAGAAGGAGUUCUGGGGAGGAGCAUUGAACUGUCCUGAGCAGUCCUUUUCGAUCGUACUGAAUACACAACUUAUACUACGAGUGCUUUACCCACAAUUAUUUAUAAAGAAAAAAUGCAAAGAGCAACAAAAAAAAAAAAAAAAGAA